AACCUAGCACACCUGCGGUGUGUACCUGCGGAGGGAUCAUUACACAAUACAAUAUGAAGGCUGUCCGCAGCUGGAGUAUUUUAUUACCCUUGUCUUUUGCGCACUUGUUGUUUCCUGGGCGGGUUCGCUCGCCACCAGGACCACCAAAUAAACCUUUUUUAUGCAGUUGCAAUCAGCGUCAGUACAAACAAUGUAAACCAUUUACAACUUUCAACAAUGGAUCUCAGAUCGGAAGAGCAC
rnacentral:misc_RNA from 1 species